rnacentral:rRNA from 1 species
GAGGGGCAGCACGAUGUAGCAAUACAUUGGUGGCGACCGGCGCACGGGUGAGUAACGCGUAUGCAACCUACCUAUCAGAGGGGAAUAACCCGGCGAAAGUCGGACUAAUACCGCAUAAAACAGGGGUUCCACAUGGAAAUAUUUGUUAAAGAAUUAUCGCUGAUAGAUGGGCAUGCGUUCCAUUAGAUAGUUGGUGAGGUAACGGCUCACCAAGUCCACGAUGGAUAGGGGUUCUGAGAGGAAGGUCCCCCACACUGGUACUGAGACACGGACCAGACUCCUACGGGAGGCAGCAGUGAGGAAUAUUGGUCAAUGGGCGAGAGCCUGAACCAGCCAAGUCGCGUGAAGGAUGAAGGAUCUAUGGUUUGUAAACUUCUUUUAUAUGGGAAUAAAGUGAGGAACGUGUUCCUUUUUGUAUGUACCAUAUGAAUAAGCAUCGGCUAACUCCGUGCCAGCAGCCGCGGUAAUACGGAGGAUGCGAGCGUUAUCCGGAUUUAUUGGGUUUAAAGGGUGCGUAGGUGGUUAAUUAAGUCAGCGGUGAAAGUUUGUGGCUCAACCAUAAAAUUGCCGUUGAAACUGGUUGACUUGAGUAUAUUUGAGGUAGGCGGAAUGCGUGGUGUAGCGGUGAAAUGCAUAGAUAUCACGCAGAACUCCGAUUGCGAAGGCAGCUUACUAAACUAUAACUGACACUGAAGCACGAAAGCGUGGGGAUCAAACAGG